rnacentral:rRNA from 1 species
UGGGGAAUCUUGCGCAAUGGGCGAAAGCCUGACGCAGCAACGCCGCGUGCGGGAUGACGGCUUUCGGGUUGUAAACCGCUUUCAGCAGGGACGAAAUUGACGGUACCUGCAGAAGAAGCCCCGGCCAACUACGUGCCAGCAGCCGCGGUAAUACGUAGGGGGCGAGCGUUGUCCGGAUUCAUUGGGCGUAAAGAGCUCGUAGGCGGCUUGGCAAGUCGGGUGUGAAACCUCCAGGCUCAACCUGGAGCGGCCACUCGAUACUGCCAUGGCUAGAGUCCGGUAGGGGACCACGGAAUUCCUGGUGUAGCGGUGAAAUGCGCAGAUAUCAGGAGGAACACCGGUGGCGAAGGCGGUGGUCUGGGCCGGUACUGACGCUGAGGAGCGAAAGCGUGGGGAGCGAACAGGAUUAGAUACCCUGGUAGUCCACGCCGUAAACGUUGGGCACUAGGUGUGGGCGGUUGUCAACGCCGUCCGUGCCGUAGCUAACGCAUUAAGUGCCCCGCCUGGGGAGUACGGCCGC